GGGGGGUUAAAGUAUUUUAAUAGAAAAAAUUUAAAAAUUUAUAAUGAAUUAAGUAUUGUGAAAGAAAUUUGAAAUAGAUUAAAUAUUAAUUUAGAAGAAAGUAAUUUUAAUUUAAUGUAUCUUGUGUAUCAGAGUUUAUUAAUAAAAAUUUUUAGAAUAAAAAAUUCUCGAAUUUAAAAGAGAUAAUUAAUUAUAAAAGUUAUUGUAGUAUAAAUAUUUUAAAUAAUUAAUUUGAAAUGAAAUGUUAAUCGUUUUUAAAUAUAUCUAGUUUUUUUAGAAAAAAAUUUAAUUUUAAAUUAAAAUAAUAUUUAAUUAAUUAAUUAAUUAAAUAUUAUUUUAAUUUUAUAUUUUAAGGGAUAAGCUUUAAUUUAAAUAUAUAUAAUAGUAAUGAUUUAGAAUUGAAAUUUAUAUAAUUUAUAUUGUUAAAUAAUUUUAGUUUAUUAUAAAUAAUUUCAUAAAAAAUAAAAUUUAAUUAAAUAAAUUUAUAUUUUUAUAAAAAAAUAAAUUUAAAAAAUAUUAAUUUAGUUAUAAUGAUAAAAUUAGUAUAUAAUUUAAAUAUUUAAUUAGUAUUAAUUAUGUUAAUUAAUAAAAAGGAAUUCGGCAAAUUUUUAUAUUCACUUGUUUAUCAAAAACAUGUCUUUUUGUUAAUAAUAUAAAGUCUAAUCUGCCCACUGAUUUUUUAAUUGAAGGGCUGCAGUAUUUUGACUGUACAAAGGUAGCAUAAUCAUUAGUCAUUUAAUUGAUGACUUGUAUGAAGGAUUGGAUGAAAUAUAAGCUGUCUCUUAAUUAAAUUAUAAAAUUUAAUUUUUUAAUUAAAAAGUUAAAAUAAAUUAAAAAGACGAGAAGACCCUAUAGAGUUUUAUAAAUAUUUAUAUUUAAAAUUAUUUUAUAAAUAAUAUUUAUUUUAAUUUAGUUGUUUAUUUUAUUGGGGUGAUAGAAAAAUAAAAAAAACUUUUUUUUAAAAAAAACAUAUAUAAGUGAUUAAAUGAUCCAAUUAUAUUGAUUAUAAGAAAAAAUUACCUUAGGGAUAACAGCGUAAUUUUUUUUUUUAGUUCAAAUAAAAAAAAGAGUUUGCGACCUCGAUGUUGGAUUAAGAUAAAAUUUAAAUGCAGAAGUUUAAAAUUUUUGAUCUGUUCGAUCAUUAAAAUCUUACAUGAUCUGAGUUCAAACCGGUGUGAGCCAGGUUGGUUUCUAUCUUUUGAAAGAUAAAAUAUUUUAGUACGAAAGGAUUAAAUAUUUAAAUUAAAUUUAUUUUUAUGAAUAUU
rnacentral:rRNA from 1 species